rnacentral:tRNA from 1 species
GCCUGGGUGGCUUAGUCGGUUAAGCGCCUGACUUCGGCUCAGGUCAUGAUCUCGCGGUCCGUGAGUUCGAGCCCCGUGUCGGGCU